CCUAUGGUGCCCGUACCCCAAACCAACACAGGUGGACAGGUAGAGCAUACCAAGGCGAGUGGGAUAACUAUGGUUAAGGAACUCGGCAAAUUGCCUCCGUAACUUCGGGAGAAGGAGGACCCCAGUAGCGUGAUGAGACUUGCUCUCUGAGCGUGAAGGGGUGGCACAAAAUUGAGGGAAGCGACUGUUUACCAAAAACACAGCAGCGUGCUAAGCCGUAAGGCGCUGUAUACGCUGUGACUCCUGCCCGGUGCUGGAAGGUUACGGGGAUGGGUUAGUCCUUCGGGACGAAGCUCUGAACCUAAGCCCCAGUAAACGGCGGCCGUAACUAUAACGGUCCUAAGGUAGCGAAAUUCCUUGUCGGGUAAGUUCCGACCUGCACGAAUGGAGUAACGACUUCCCUACUGUCUCAACCAUAGACCCAGCGAAAUUGAAGUACGAGUAAAGAUGCUCGUUAGCUGCAGAAGGACGGAAAGACCCCGUGGACCUUUACUAUAACUUGAUGUUGUGUUUUGUCAUAUGUUGUGUAGGAUAGGUGGGAGACUUGGAAGCAUGGACGCUAGUCUGUGUGGAGUCAUCGUUGAAAUACCACCCUGCAUAUGGUGAGGCUCUAACCUAGACCCGUUAUCCGGGUUGGGGACAGCGUCAGGCGGGUAGUUUAACUGGGGCGGUUGCCUCCUAAAGAGUAACGGAGGCGCCCAAAGGUUCCCUCAGCCUGGUUGGCAAUCAGGCGUUGAGUGCAAUGGCAAAAGGGAGCUUGACUGCGAGACCUACAAGUCGAGCAGGAGCGAAAGCUGGGCAUAGUGAUCCGGCGGUUGCGUGUGGAAGCGCCGUCGUUCAACGGAUAAAAGGUACCCCGGGGAUAACAGGCUAAUCUUGCCCAAGCGUCCAUAGCGACGGCAAGGUUUGGCACCUCGAUGUCGGCUCAUCGCAUCCUGGGGCUGAAGCAGGUCCCAAGGGUUGGGCUGUUCGCCCAUUAAAGCGGUACGCGAGCUGGGUUCAGAACGUCGUGAGACAGUUCGGUCCCUAUCCUCUGCAGCCGGAGGUGAAUUGAGGAAAGCUGUCCCUAGUACGAGAGGACCGGGACGGACGCAGCUCUCGUGUGCCAGUUGUCCUGCCAAGGGCAUGGCUGGUUAGCGACCUGCGGAAAGGAUAACCGCUGAAAGCAUCUAAGCGGGAAGCCUCUUCCAAGAUGAAUUCACCCACAGGGUUAACCUGGUAAGGCCCGUGGUAGACCACCACGUUGAUAGGCCGGAAGUCUAAGCGUGGCAACACGUUCAGCUGACCGGUACUAAUCGGCCGAGGGCUUGAGUUC
rnacentral:rRNA from 1 species